UACAGAGGUCCCGAGCGUUGUCCGGAAUUACUGGGCGUAAAGAGCUCGUAGGCGGUUUGUCGCGUUGUUCGUGAAAACUCACAGCUCAACUGUGGGCGUGCGGGCGAUACGGGCAGACUGGAGUACUGCAGGGGAGACUGGAAUUCCUGGUGUAGCGGUGGAAUGCGCAGAUAUCAGGAGGAACACCGGUGGCGAAGGCGGGUCUCUGGGCAGUAACUGACGCUGAGGAGCGAAAGCGUGGGGAGCGAACAGG
rnacentral:rRNA from 1 species